AAAGUGCUUUGUCGGGAAGAGAAGCGAGGCCCCUGCCCUCAGAGAAAGGCGAGGAAGGUUGGAGGUCAUUUAGCAGCAGAGAUGGCCGCUGACCACAGAGGCCACCACAGAGGCACUAAGAGCCUGAAGUGGAUGAGCAUCUAAGAUCCCAGCUGUGAUGGAAUCUAGGAGGCCCUUGGUAGCUGCUGAGGAAAGAUGCUUCUCUACAACUUUGAAUUCCAACUUCCCUUUGCAGAAGAUUUCUUAGGUCUCAGAGAGAAAAUUAAAUGAAGUUCAAUGGAUUCAAGGCAAAUCGAGCAGUCUGAAGUCACCUGGUAACGCAAUGGUUCCCCACGAAGCAGGCAGCUGUCUCCCACAUCACACCUCCUAGGCUGGUCAGUUCGGCAUCACAUUUGUUCUGCAGAGUAAAGCUCUGGCAUAGGCUCUGGCUGCCUCAGGUCAGCUGAAUAUUC
rnacentral:lncRNA from 1 species